GGUAACCAUUGUCAUCUCCAUAACUCCACCGCCACCCCUCAACCACCGCCUCCACCCUCCACCUCCUCCAAUCACCGGACAUUUUUCUCUUUCAUUUAUUUCACAUGACAAUUUCAUCCUUCAAAUAAUAAUCUCUCUGACACACACUACUUCAUAGCUCCCCAUUGUCUCUGGUGUCUACAUUUUCUCCUUUUUCCAGUAAUGACCAUGAAGAAGAACCAAAUCCACAAUGAGAACGACGGCGGUAACGGCGGUGGUGGGGGCGGUGACGGUGGAAAGAAGCAAAAACCUUCGGAUAUUAAUGUGGUGGUUCUGAAAAUUGACCUGUACUGUGAAGGUUGUGCUAGUAGAGUAGUUGCCUGUUGUUGUUCCUGUUCGUACACUCGAUGGUGUUGAGUCUGUGAGGAUCGGUGACAGUGAGUUGAACAAACACACGUUGAUCGGUAAUUUGGCUCCGGUCAAACUCUGACAAAAAGUUGAGGAGAAAACUCCACUGGAAUUUGGUGUUUUGGAAUUUGCAGAUGAUCAUGUUCAUAGGUGUUUGAAUAACGUGGAUUCUUAUCUUGAAUUAUUAUUCUGAAUGUUUUGUGAUAGAUGAUGAUGUUCAUGUGAA